AGGACGAACGCUGGCGGCGCGCCUAACACAUGCAAGUCGAGCGAUAACCAGGGCUUGCCCUGGGGACAGCGGCGAACGGGUGCGUAACACGUGAGCAACCUGCCCCAAAGACCGGGACAACCCGAGGAAACUCGGACUAAUACCGGAUGCCCUCACCGGGCCGCAUGGUCUGGUGAGGAAAUGGAUUCCGCUUUGGGAUGGGCUCGCGGUCUAUCAGCUUGUUGGUGGGGUAACGGCCUACCAAGGCGACGACGGAUAGCUGGUCUGAGAGGACGAUCAGCCACACUGGGACUGAGACACGGCCCAGACUCCUACGGGAGGCAGCAGUGGGGAAUAUUGCGCAAUGGGCGGAAGCCUGACGCAGCGACGCCGCGUGAGGGAUGACGGUCUUCGGAUUGUAAACCUCUUUCAGUAGGGACGAAUGUAGACGGUACCUGCAGAAGAAGCACCGGCCAACUACGCGCCAGCAGCCGC
rnacentral:rRNA from 1 species